rnacentral:lncRNA from 1 species
CCCGCUGGAUGUACUAGCCAAACACUGAGAAGUGGAUGGUCUAGACAUCUCUGUCUUCUGAAGAUGAUAGAGUUCGUUGUGAACGUGCCCCUUUCCAUUCACUUGGCCUGUCUUUAAGUCUUGAAAUUCAACCUCAUCUGGUCUGAAGACAGCCUGACAACUCAGAUCAACAGUAGCCUUUCUCACAGAUAGCAGGUUUGAUGUAAAUUGAGGCAUAUACAAGGCAGUAGAUUUCCU